rnacentral:sRNA from 12 species
CCUAUGGAGAGUACAAAACAAUGUGAGUACUGAUUGGGGACAUCCAUCAUGAAAGCAUACUCGACGAAAUAGGAA